UAAAUUCACCAAGGAUUUCUUUGCCAGCUUUCUUGUACCUGCAAAAGUUUGCACCAUGUGUUCUUUAACUAUAUCAACUACUCAACUUGCCCUGAGACAGGAUUUAAUAAGUUUGUCCAUGCUUUUAAUGAUAUUGUUAGGCUCGUAUGUAAAUUAUACAAUUGGACAAAGAUUAACUAUAUCGGCUGACAGUAUUGCGGAAGCUGUAUAUAACUUGAACUGGUGCGAUGCUGAUGUAUCAACG